AGAUGGGUGCUAUAGUGUUGCUAGGUGGUUGAUAUUGUAUCCCAGGUGGUCACUGUGGUAUGUUAACAGGUUACUAUUGUGUUCCUAAGAGGCUGCUAGAUGGGUGCUAUAGUGUUGCUAGUUGGUUGAUAUGGUAUCCCAGGUGGUCACUGUGGUAUCUUAACUGGUUACUACUGUGUUGCUAAGAGGUUGCUAGAUGGGUGCUAUAGCGUUGCUAGGUGGUUGCUAUGGUAUCCCAGGUGGUCACUGUGGUAUCUUAACUGGUUACUACUGUGUUGCUGAGAGGUUGCUAGAUGGGUGCUAUAGCAUUGCUAGGUGGUUGCUAUGGUAUCCCAGGUGGUCACUGUGGUAUCUUAACUGGUUACUACUGUGUAGCUGAGAGGUUGCUAGAUGGGUGCUAUUAUGUUGCUAGGUGGUUGAUAUGGUAUCCCAGGUGGACACUGUGGUAUCUUAACUGGUUACUACUGUGUUGCUGAAAGGUUGCUAUAUGGGUGCUAUAGUGUUGUUAGGUGGUU